AUGAUCUGUGGCUGGCAUUGGUGUGGUACCGUUUGUUUCCGGGUGAAAUUAACUGAUCCAUUAACAAGUGCAAAUGAUGCUUGCAGUCCGUUCUUGAAGCUCACAGGCCCGUCCCGCGCCGUCGUGUUCGCCGGCCCCGUCGACAUCGACGUCCAGCUCAAACUCAAGGGCAGAACCACAGAGCGCGAAGACGAGGACCUGAUCUCCAAAGUUUUGACAUAUGGACGUGAUUUCAGCAGUGACAAUUCCACCGAGGCAGGCAACCGCCACCUCGCACGCACCACCUGUUCCGGCAGGCUCUGCUCGCUGGAGGUCACCGCCGCCCCGCUCGCCAGGGCGAUCGAGGCCACCGUCAUCUCCGCUGAGGUCACCCAGGGCCGGUGGCCCAAAACCUUAGGAAUCCGCGUCGUCGUCUCCGGCACGGCCGGCGCAGACGAGGACUUCGUACUGCUUGAAGCUCGAGAUUGGACAUUUCGCGUGGACCUCGCCGACGGCAUCAUCGCCCUUAACCGGCAUGUCGUGUGCGUGGAGGAAGGUGGGAUGCUGAAUCUUUGGAUAGAGGCCUACAGCAAGAGAACCGGAUGCAUGUACGAAAAAUCUGGGGUCACGGAGUUGGUGCCCAAGAGGUCCUCCGCCACUAUUGCCGUAUGCAAGCUUGCCUUCUGCACGGUUGAGUUCGUCGUCGGUUGGUCCUGCCUCGUGGCCAAAGUGAGUGACCUGAUGAGAAAUUCCAGCAGCAUAAUGCGCCGAAAUGAAAUGCGUGCACAACACUGA
rnacentral:rRNA from 1 species